GUGGCGGACGGGUGAGUAAUGUCUGGGAAACUGCCUGAUGGAGGGGGAUAACUACUGGAAACGGUAGCUAAUACCGCAUAACGUCGCAAGACCAAAGAGGGGGACCUUCGGGCCUCUUGCCAUCAGAUGUGCCCAGAUGGGAUUAGCUAGUAGGUGGGGUAACGGCUCACCUAGGCGACGAUCCCUAGCUGGUCUGAGAGGAUGACCAGCCACACUGGAACUGAGACACGGUCCAGACUCCUACGGGAGGCAGCAGUGGGGAAUAUUGCACAAUGGGCGCAAGCCUGAUGCAGCCAUGCCGCGUGUAUGAAGAAGGCCUUCGGGUUGUAAAGUACUUUCAGCGGGGAGGAAGGUGUUGUGGUUAAUAACCGCAGCAAUUGACGUUACCCGCAGAAGAAGCACCGGCUAACUCCGUGCCAGCAGCCGCGGUAAUACGGAGGGUGCAAGCGUUAAUCGGAAUUACUGGGCGUAAAGCGCACGCAGGCGGUCUGUCAAGUCGGAUGUGAAAUCCCCGGGCUCAACCUGGGAACUGCAUUCGAAACUGGCAGGCUAGAGUCUUGUAGAGGGGGGUAGAAUUCCAGGUGUAGCGGUGAAAU
rnacentral:rRNA from 1 species